AAUUUCUUCGCUAAAUCGAUCGAUCGUCCGUCCGUUCAUCGGAAAUUUUUUACCGGUACAGAUAAUCGCAUUGACGGUAUAAGUUCGAGUUCCGGUGAGAAACGAACUAACUGAGAAAGAUGAAUGGAGUGGCGGAAUGCAGCGUUUGCCACUCGAAAUUGGAAGUUUCGCCAAAUAAAAGAACGGUUUCAAAAGCUUAUGAUCGUCAUCGCAUUGUUGUAUCGGUGAAAACUCGAGCUUUCAACGUCUUUUUGGUUGUCGGUGACUGCGUUUUGGUCGGUUUACAGCCUAUACUUGUAUAUAUGUCAAAAGUUGAUGGCAAAUUCAAGUUCAGUCCCAUUAGUGUUAAUUUUUUGACUGAGUUGGCAAAAGUUGCAUUUGCACUAGUAAUGCUAUGCUUAGAGGCUCGAAACCAGAAGGCUGGUGAGAAGUCUCCUCUUUCUUUCUCCACAUUGUUCCAGGCCGCUCGUAACAAUGUGCUUCUGGCUGUUCCUGCUCUGCUUUAUGCUAUUAAUAACUAUCUUAAGUUUAUCAUGCAGUUAUAUUUUAACCCUGCUACUGUAAAGAUGCUGAGUAACUUGAAGGUUUUGGUAAUUGCAAUCUUGUUAAAGAUAGUUAUGAAACGUCAUUUUUCCAUAAUUCAGUGGGAGGCUCUUGCACUAUUGCUUAUUGGCAUCAGUGUGAAUCAGCUGCGCUCUCUGCCGGAAGGUGCAACAACUUUGGAUCUUACAGUGACAACAGGGGCAUAUUUGUAUACCUUGAUUUUUGUCACUGUUCCUUCACUGGCGUCUGUCUACAAUGAAUAUGCUUUGAAAAGCCAAUUUGAGACCAGCAUUUAUCCUCAGAAUUUGUUUUUGUACGGAUAUGGUGCAAUCUUCAACUUCCUAGGCAUACUUGGAACUGUCAUUUACAAAGGACCUGACAGUUUCGAUAUCUUACGGGGACACUCACGAGCAACAGUGUUUUUAAUAUGCAAUAAUGCAGCUCAGGGAAUCCUGUCUUCGUUUUUCUUCAAGUAUGCAGAUACAAUUCUGAAGAAGUAUUCAUCAACUGUCGCCACUAUUUUCACUGGAAUAGCAUCUGCUCUACUGUUUGGACAUCCCCUUACUAUGAACUUCAUCUUAGGAAUCUCCAUUGUGUUUAUCUCGAUGCAUCAGUUCUUUUCACCUCUUGCAAAGGUCAGGGAUGAGCCACAAAAUGGCAACCUGGAAAUGGAUUAUCAGAAAAACUAUAGGUGCACUCUUCUUUCAAGCUUCAUGCUUUGUGAAAGUAAAACUGAUAUACACAAGAGAUCGGGGUUACCAUGCAACGACUUUCCUCAACAGGCUUUCAGAUGCUUAUCUCUAGAUCUUCUCUUUAGAUUGUGUUGGAUCAAGUACUUAUUGUUCAUAGGAGUCGCAGUGUCGAAAGACUGUCUAAACUCCAAAAGUAUGGGGGGAUAUUGGACUCAGGUUACAGUGUAUACAUAUGUAUGUUCGCAGACGUUAUUAAAGAAUUGGAAAUAUGUACCUCCUGUACACUAGGAUGGUCUAUAGCACUUGAUCUGGUGUGAGAAUAUCUAGGAUUCAGAUGUUAAGAAAGUUUAAGUGCCCUUCGUAUGCUAGUUGCAACUGAGUGAAUCUUGGAGGGCAAAUGGCAGAGCUCUACCUUUGAUCACAAAAGGUCAAGAUAUCUUUCAUGCAGUCAAGUGAGUUAAUUUGGUAUUUUUGCCUUAGAUACGGAGCCCUUGAAAUUUCAUAAGCUCUUUAUCCCCCGAAAGAGAAAAAGCUUUUCAACCUUAAUAUCCAAAUUAUUACUUUUUUUACUUUCCUGAUUAAAUGGUCCAGUUUCGGAAUCGAAAGUAAAACAAGUGAUGCCGAAGGUGCUUGAUUGAAUGACACUCAAAUUUAAGACUGUCUUCACAGGUUGUCAGAAUGGAUAAAAAUGAGAGCAAGGAUUCAACUUUUUUCAAACGAGAAACCUAUUAAUGACUGCUAACAAAACCUAUGAAAUGAGAUGUUAUUGGCAAAUGAAGCAUGAAAAAAGAAAAGGUGUUUUCAUAUAAAAGACAUUAGAAUAGGGAAUACCCUCCAGUUCGGAAUUGGAAAAAGGAAAAGAAAGAGGAAGCAUAUGAUUGAGGAAUCCAAUUCAUAAGAUCAGGAGCUCUUUUUUUGUUUAUUAGAAGAUUUUGGGCCGAGGGGAGUAUUUCCAAUGUCGUUGAUGCAGGACUUGAUGUACUAGAAGCAUUGAGCCUCACUUAGUUUUUAAUCAUUUUUUUGCAUUGCCGUGGUGCUUUUCUAAUGUUACUCUCUGAAUUAUGAAAACAAAAUAGGAAUUUCAUCAGGUUCCUUGUUUCCAAGAGCAAAGAGGGCUUAAUGUUUUACUUUAAGUGGACAUGAAAUCAGGCAGGGUCAAGAUGAAACAAUUGUUUCUUCUGGUCCAAUGGAGGGCCCACCUUUUUUUUCCCUUUAGUUUCCGUUAAACUAUUAUUUUUCUAUUUAUGGUCUUAUACUCUUAUAACUAUGCAGGUAAUGCACCUAAUCUCAGUAAUCACUUUGAUAGUUUGAUGCAUGUUGUGUGAAAUCUUUAGUUAUUGUGUUGCCUUUCUUAAAACACAUUUGAUAUCAUCAUUCUAGUGUUGUUUCUUUGGAAGAAAAUAUGAGUGCUUGAUUUCUACAGUUCAAAGGAUGGAUCCUUCAUAAAUAUGGCGGCUGGGGCAAGUGAAGAUGCUACCCAUCGCAUUGGACCUGAUGAGAGAGAACCCCUUCUUCCCCAAUAGUUAUUAUAG